rnacentral:rRNA from 1 species
AAGUGUAAGUUCAGGUAACUAAACUGCGAAUAGCUCAUUAACACACUCAUAAUCUACUUGGAAACAAUUUUUUAAAAAUUUUAAAUGGAUAGCAGGAGUAAUUCUCGUGCUAAUACAUGAAAUUUUAAUAAUCUCAAAUUAAAUCAGAUUAUUUUUAAUACCUUUUAAUAGGUAAUCCAAUCGAAUGAGUGACCUAUCAGGCCAGUACUUAGGGUCUUUACCUAAGUAAGCUAUCACGGGUAACGGGCGGUUACCGUCGUACUGCCGGAGAAGGCGCCUGAGAGAUAGCGACUAUAUCCACGGGUAGCAGCAGGCGCGAAACUUACCCACUCGAGACUAUCGGAGGUGGUAAUGACCAGUUAUAAUUAAGGAAUUUUCCUUAUUAUAUAGGAAUAUACUUUUCCAGUAUAUUGUAACCUAGCAGAGGGCCAGUCUGGUGCCAGCAGCUGCGGUAAUUCCAGCUCUGCAAGUUUGCUCCCAUAUUGUUGUAGUUAAAACGCUCGUAGUCUGAAUUAUUUUAAUUUAAAUUUUUUAAAUUAAAAUUUAGUUUUUAUUUUAUAAAAACGUUCACUGUGAACAAAUCAGAACGCUUAAAGUAAUUUUCUUUAUUGAAUGAUUUAGCGCAGUAUGAAAUUUUUACUUUUUAAAUUUUAAUUAAUUUAACAAGUAAUAUCAAAGAGAAUAAUCGGGGAUAGAUCUAUUUCAUGGCGAACAGCGAAAUGUUUUGACCCAUGAGAGAGAAACGAAGGCGAAAGCAUCUAUCAAGUGUAUUUCUAUCGAUCAAGGGCGAGAGUAGGAGUAUCCAACCGGAUCAGAGACCCGGGUAGUUCCUACCUUAAACUAUGCCGACAAGGUUUUGUUUUUUUUUAAUAAAAGCAGUACCAUAGGAGAAAUCAUAGUUCAUGGGCUCUGGGGGAACUACGACCGCAAGGCUGAAACUUGAAGGAAUUGACGGAAGGGCACACCAGGGGUGGAGCUUGUGGCUUAAUUUGAAUCAACACGGGAAAACUUACCAGGACCAGAUAUUUUUAAUGACUGAUCAGGCUAUAGGUCUUUCAGGAUAUGAUUUUUGGUGGUGCAUGGCCGUUGGUGGUGCGUGGGUUGACCUGUCUAGCGUUGAUUCAGAUAACGAGCGAGAUUAUCACCAAUUAAAUAUAUAAAUAUUUUUAUUAAAAUAAUUUAUUUUCUAAUUG